GUCUAGUCUCAACAAACGACCCCUCGAAAACGAAUUCCGCCAUUGUUUAUUUCCGUUCUCCUUCUUCUUCCUCUUCUUCCUCCACUCCCCUCUCUCUCUCUCUCUCUAGACACGAUGAUGAUGGAGGUCUCCUUCUCCCCUCAAAUCCAGCGUCGUUUUCUCCAUUAACGCCCCCCACCCUCGCGAAGGUUCCUUCUCCUCCCCGUCGCAUUCCGCUCUCUUCUCGCACUCUCUUCUGGUCGGAAAGGGCCGGAAGGAAAUCCCCCGGGGAUUUCGAGGCGAUCUCAUGAACGUUAGGCCGCGGGGCCUCUCGAUUGCUGUCGCGAUAGUCUGCAGAUAACGGAUCGCUUGGCCGAGCGCGGGCUGCUUCUUCUGCUGUCGACCUUCUGCGUCUUGAUCCGAGGGAGCGCGGAGCUGUUGGAUUCCGUGGAUCCGAGCGACGGGAUGGGUUACCUCAACUCGAUUUUGGCGUCUCCGAGCCAGAUUCACGCCGACGACGCCCCGGUCAGCGGCGGCGGGCUCAGUCAGAAUGGGAAAUUCAGCUAUGGAUAUGCAAGCUCUCCUGGGAAAAGGGCUUCGAUGGAAGAUUUCUAUGAGACAAGAAUAGAUGGUGUAGAAGGGAGAUAGUUGGUCUUUUUUGGAGUUUUUGAUGCUUGCUAAGGAGGUG